CACCAGCAAGUGGGCCAUUGGGAGAGACAGAUGUCCUGCCCGCUCUGGUCCAUUGAUCUUGCCUUUUGACCAGCCCCAGGAGGAAACACAUCUGUGAUGCUGUAUCCUCUCCCCGACUCCUUAACAGGGCUGCUGAGCUGGCGAUGAGGUCUGUGGUCUAUGAGGCCCUGCCGCCGCCUGGCCUUUCAUUGAGGACCAGAAAAUUGACCCCCACACAAGCCUCUGGAAAACUGCAGCCAGAGUCUGCCCAGAGAGUCUCUUCUGUCCCCUUCUCUAGACACCUGAAGCUCCCGUCUGCACCAGCCCUAGGCGCUUGUGCCCACUGCUGCCCCACAGGUUCGAGCAGCACAGGUCCCCAAAACCUUAACCCGAGAAGGGAAAAUAUUUCCAGAUCUGAGUGGCUGCAGGGCCAGACUCGGCAUCUAUGAAUCCUUCGUUCUGUGACCUUAGCCGCAUCCGCUAAGCUGCUGCCAGGCUAGACUGCAGAAACGAACUCAAAGCAAAGACGUUGAAAAAAAAAAGAAAAAAAAAUCAAGAGGUCUGAAAUUUGCCCCAUCAAGUCUUUUGAAACCAAACUGCCCACAUUUUUAAGGGUUUGACGUCAUAACAUUCCCAAGUAAGAUUACAUUUUGAAAAACAAUGAUUGUUGCUGUGCGUGUGUGUGUGUGUAUGUGUGUGUGUGAGUGCAUGGCAUGUGUGUGUGUGUGUGUGUGUGUGUGUGCGCGUGCGCGUGUGUGUGUGUGUGUGUGUGUGUAUGUGUGUGUACACAUGUGUGUGUGAGUGCAUGGUGUGUGUGUGAGUGCAUGGUGUGUGUGUGUGUGUGUGUGUGUGUGUCUGUGUAUGUGAGUGCAUGGUGUGUGUGUGUGUACACGUGUGUGUGAAUGCAUGGUGUGUGUGUGAGUGCAUGGUGUGUGUGUGUUGUGCAUCUUGUGUGUGCGUGUGUGUAUGUGUGUGUAUGAGUGCGUGCUGGGUGUAUGUGUGUGAGUGAGUGCAUGGUGUGUGUGUGUGUGUGUGUCUGUGUGUAUAUGAGUGCAUGGUGUGUGUGUGUGUGUGAGUGAGUGAGUGCAUGGUGUGUGUGUGUGUGUGUGUGUGUGUGAGUGUGUGUGUGUGUGUCUGUGUGUCUGUGUGUCUGUGUCUGUGUAUGUGAGUGCAUGGUGUGUGUGUGUGUGUGUGUGUGUGUGUGUGAGUGUGUGUGUGUGUGUCUGUGUGUCUGUGUAUGUGAG
rnacentral:lncRNA from 1 species